UGGGGAAUAUUGGACAAUGGGCGGAAGCCUGAUCCAGCCAUGCCGCGUGUGUGAAGAAGGCCUUUUGGUUGUAAAGCACUUUAAGCGAGGAGGAGGCUACUUGGAUUAAUACUCUAGGAUAGUGGACGUUACUCGCAGAAUAAGCACCGGCUAACUCUGUGCCAGCAGCCGCGGCAAUACAGAGGGUGCGUGCGUUAAUCGGAUUUACUGGGCGUAAAGCGUGCGUAGGCGGCUUCUUAAGUCGGAUGUGAAAUCCCUGAGCUUAACUUAGGAAUUGCAUUCGAUACUGGGAAGCUAGAGUAUGGGAGAGGAUGGUAGAAUUCCAGGUGUAGCGGUGAAAUGCGUAGAGAUCUGGAGGAAUACCGAUGGCGAAGGCAGCCAUCUGGCCUAAUACUGACGCUGAGGUACGAAAGCAUGGGGAGCAAACAGG
rnacentral:rRNA from 1 species